GGUGUCCAAGCCUCAUGGAGCAGCCCAGUGCUCCACGUCUCUGAAGCCUGGACAAAGUCCUUGUGGUCCCAGCUGGCUGCAGGAGAAUCUGGCAGGGAACAGCAUCUCUUCUGGGGCAGCCAAUGCCCUGAAAUGGUUCUCUUGGGCAGGCCAUGGAGGGGAGGCUUUGCUUCCAUCUCUUGUGCCAGGGAAGGAAACAUUGACCUGAGUGAAAGAUCUCUGGGCUUGUCUGCCUGGCGUGUGCUGGAUGCAAGAGUGGAUGGUCCCAUGUAGCCUCUGUCUAGCCAAGCUGGUGUUGGGAUGGUGUGUGCAUGGAGGCAUGGUUCAUCUGUGCACUGGCCACUGAUGAGUGGCGAGUUGGGAUUGGCCAGGAACUGUGUCAGGAUGAAACGGGAUGAAGCAAACAAAACCUGAAGACCUUGAGCAAGGCCCCCAGCAAGGCCAUGCCGAUGCUCUUGUGCUCUUUUUGGCGGCAGCACCCUCUAGCCAGGGCCAGCCUCUGCCAGCUGGACGUGACUGAAGCCCCCACUUGAACACAGGAGUCCUCUGAUCUGUGGACAGGCAAACUUGUCCUUGGAGAUCACAAGGUACUUUAAGCCCCCUUUUUCUAUACAGAUGCCUAAAUGUGUCCUUUUCAAGGUCCUGCUUUGAAAGGUACUGAGAAAACUCCAAAUAUUACAGUCAAUGGGAAGAACCCAGGAAACACAAGAGUAGCAGAAAACUGAGGCAGAGUGCACAUUAAGUGCUGGGGAAGUGUUGCAAACCACUGCAGCUAAUCCCACAAAUGCACAACUCAGCAUUUCUUCGUUUCCUCCAAGGCUGCUGGUAUCAGCCAUGAAAUAUGGAAAAUAUUGCACUGGAUUGACUUAGGUUCGCAUCAGGUCUGGCAAUCUGUUUUUCUUAAGGGGGGGAAAAAAUGAACACUCACACACGCUGCUACAACAAUGUGAAGUAUUUUCAUCUUCAAGAGCCCUUCCUCUCUAUCCAAUGCCUUCCUUUAAAGAAUGGUGCAGAAGUCAAGCAGAGCUGUGCAUCAUCCAGAAAGCAUGCAGCACUCAACUGCGGCACUCAAGGAUUCCUAGAAGCCAGCGCUACACAGGGAGAGCUAAAACAGGGGACUUGACAGCGAGCGUGCAGCUGAUCCUCCCAUCCGGGGAAGCAGGGCUUGGAAACAACACUGGGGGGUUGCAAUCUGGCAACGCGCGCCUUCCACUCGGAGCAAGAAAUGUCAAGGAGAAUUAGUGAGAUGACUGGAGACUUAGACUGCAAUGGGAAGCAACUGCUGUUUGUAAGCAGGCUGUGACUACUCAGCCUUGCUAAUCAGAUUUCAGGAGAUGCUCAGCUGGCUCAUGCUGUAGGGUGCUCGUUGUAUGUUUUGCUAACAAUGCUGUGCUGUGGGUGGGGGGGGUCUGUAUUUCAGUGGGAAAGGAGAAGGCUCCCCUGAGGGAGCCUGAUUUAAUGCCCAGAGACCUGGUUGUGUCAGUGGAGGGGGAAAAGGCUGUUUGGAAAUCUGUGUAUCUUGGGCAUGGCUCUGAUACCUGCUCUGUAGGUUAUUUAAAACAAGCAAGGCAGGGCCAGAUGCUCCUCUGAGCACCAGCUGUGAGCACUGAGGUUACCAAAACUCACCCUUACCUGAACAGAUCUGCUGGCUGAGGGUGACCUGACAGCCUCCCCAACCUCCUGGGCAGCUGGAACCUGCCCUGAUGCCGGAGCCAUGGUGGUUUGGCCACGCUGGGCCUUUGCAUAUCAGUGCCAGGAGGAAAAGCCACCACAUGCAGCGCUGGUGUGCCAGCUCCAUCGCUGCUCAGCCGGUCCAGUUUGCUUCAGCCCCCCCAUCCUCUCUGGAGCACGCUUUUGAGCCGAGGCACUAGAGAGCAUGGAGCAGUAUUUGAGCCGAGAGAAAUGGAGAUCCUUUGCACUGGAUCAAGGCUUUAAUUAGUGAAAGGUUGUGUGAUUUUUGCUUGAUUUGCUCGAUACCAGUUCCCAUGAAGAAUGAAAGUUUACUUCCAUUUCCCAGCUCUCUAUUAAAGCAGCUUCCGUUAGCGCUGCCUGUGCUCAACUGUGCUGUAUAUGGCAUUUCUAUUUUUAGAAACCAGGGUUGCCAUGACAACCCAGUGUAUUUUUUGUUAAAUAUAGCAGCUGUUGCAGGGAACUCUUGUCCUUCUGGAUGUAAAGGCUGUGUUUUUGCCCUCUGACAGAGCUCAGGGUAUUAAAUGCAAAUGAGAAAGGAUGAUUAAAUAAGUGGGAGCCCAGAAGAAACCGUGGAUCUGUAAUUACACAAAGAGGUUUUGAACGAAGCCGUGCAUAUCUGCUGCUGCAGAAACAGCCCUUCUGCAUUAGAAAUGGUGGGUGGACAGGGCCGUGAAGCUUUGCAGCGGGGUCUGUGGGCUCCUUGAGACCACCCAGCCCCUCUCUCUUGCCAGCUGGGAUGCUUGCUUGCUGGCUGCCCAAUCUGCCCACCUUUUGCCCAUUCUGGUCUCUGAUCCUUCCAGGAGAGAGUCUGGUCUUGGCUGUGCUCUCUAGGACUUGUCCCAUCUAGGAAAAUAUAUGGGGGUAGCAAAUAGGUAUUGCUAUGAGAGCAUCCCUGCGGGAAGAAAGGAAUGAGCCUGUUUUGGGAAAAAGCAAGUUUUACCUCCUACCCAUGCUUAUAGAGCUUGAAGAAGAGGCCCGUGUUGCAGGGUGUGGGUCUGGAGCUGCAUCUCCUGUUGGGUGGUGAAGAACUCAAUGGAAGAAAUGCUGGCCCAGGGGUGCAGCAUGAGAAUGCUACAAAACCAUGCUGCACCCCAAAUCAGCAACAUGUGCAGGCUUUGGUGUUUGAUGGGUUAUAAACUGAUUCUGCUGUUUUUGUUUGUUUGUUUGUUUUUAAUUUAUCUGUUAGAUCUGGGGGAAGCAGCAGUGAAGGGUUUCGCUCCUGCUCCGCUCUGCCUCUGUCACUUCUUUACUGGAUGGUAUAUGGUGCAAACAUAUCCCCUCAAAGGGCUGUUUUUCAUCUGGGAGAAGGGAGAAGCGGGGAGUUCUCAUUCUGCCGAGUUCAUUUUGCAGUUGGCGCUUUGCUUUCCUAUUUCGGUGAGAGCUUUACAGAUUCUGUGAGCUUGGGGGGGUUCUUAGGAGUUUCUGUCAGCACAGCCUCUGCUUUGCGUUUCCAUUUCAGUUUGUGUUGUGCCCGGGUGACUGCAGCAAUAGCUCUGUGCACAGGGUGGGGAGCACUAUCACUUGGGCCAAGGGCAAUAUGUCAGCUGGGAGAUGGAUAUCUUGUUUUUAAUUAGCUGGUCUUUGCCUCAUUAAAUGCAAAAGGAAAGUUAGUGAACAGAAGAUACACAGCAGAGUUUAGGGUCUUUGAAAGUUUCUUUAAAAAGCAGCCACAACAACAAACAAAUAAAGAACCAGAGUUAAACCAGCUUGAUUUUAAAAUGUCCAUGGAGGUCACUGUGACCAAGACUUUGAACAGGAAUAACAUAUCUCUGGGGUUCUUAUCUGUUCCCUGAGCUAUCAUGAGCAGCAUCUAUUGCUGGGGAUAUUAUUGCUUUUCUGAAUUUAAUAGCAUAAACAUUGCUUAUGCAAGCAGAACACUGCAGGGGAAGGGAUCUCCUCUCACACACUGCCGAGCUGCUUCUGUGGACACAGGGUCUUGGGUUUGCCCUGCUGCCUCCUCCCUGCACCCUCCAGGAGCUUAACCCUGUGUGUGGUCCAGAUCUUCAACCAACGCUGCAAGGUGAUUUGGAUGGGUGGGGGAUUUUGAGGAGUCAGGGAUUUAGGAGGCAGUAGGAUGGAGUCAGAUGCCGGCUAUGCUACCGACUGCCUGCUGGAGUCCAUCCUGAUCCCUCUGCAGAGCUGGAGCCUGUUUCCACAUGUGAUAGACCAUCUUCCUUUAGCUGAGGGCAUAAAUGUGGGGGUCAUCCCCAAGGAAGUGCUGCCUGUAAUGAAGGAAGGACAAAGGGAAAGGCUGCCACAUCGAAUUUGGAGACUUCUUUGCAUCCUUCAGGGAAUAUGUUGUCAGAUGUUUCUGGCCCAGAAAAUGUAGCUUGCAGCUGGGUCAGAGAUUUGAGGCAAUCAUUUUACAUGCUGCUUUUGUUUCAAUCGAGCAUGAGGUGAAGGGAGGACAGCAGAGUGAGCACAGUUACAAAAAGAGGUGAUUGCACAUGCACCCAAAGAGUGGCCUUUGCAUCUUCAGGCUCCCCCAGCUGCAAUACUCACCUUGCAGCCUCUCUGCCUUAGCAGCUGUGGCUGGCAGGACAUGGUACGUUUGAUGUUCCCACGCCCCAUUCUGGCUCUGCUUAGUUGUAGCCCUGAAUGUGCACAUCCUUAAAGGUGGUGGCAAGCCUCCAGUGAAGCUGGGCAGCUCUGGUGAACCCCUGUACCCAGCAGUCAGACCUGAAGGACUUCAAGCGAAAGUCAGGUCCCUUGGGGUGCACUUUGGAGUGGCCUUGUCUGGCAGUCAGACCAAAGACCACCCAAGGGCUGAGGACAAAGCUGCUUUGUGGCCUUUCACCACCCUUCUCCUCAAGGUCAGUGCCCCAGGACUUCAUAUAAAAGUGCAUCUCCCCAUUGCAGUUUUAUAGGCUCUGUGUAGGGGGUGCCCUUGGCUUGUGACUAGUCCUGGAGCUGCUUCCUCAUCACAGCACUUCUUGCAGGGUUAGAUAUUGUGCUGCGGGCCAGCAGCUGAUCCUGUGGGGCUGCCCACAGCAGCCAGUGUCCUGUCUCAGCUGUACCCACCGCCAGGCAGGGAUGCAGGGACGGGGUGAGGGUAGCAGGCUCCAUCCUGUCCCCUUGGUGGGUGCACAUGCCCCGCUGCUCCUGCCCAUGGGGCACCAGUCACCCUCUCAGCAGAAAAACCUUCUGCUGGUGCCAGAGGCAGAGUUUCCCCAGGAAUGCAUAUUUAUUAAAACUUCUGCCUCUGCUUGUAAGUCCACUUCCCUGUGUAUUCAGUGGUCACGUUGGUGUUUAUGCUCCCUGCUUUCCCCUCACUGAUUUAUGGGCUUAUUGUAAUCUCCCCAUUGUGUCGCCCCGCUCCAGGCAGCAUGGAGCAGGCAGCAGUCCUGGGUGUUUUUUCCUUUUGCUAUGUGUUUGUUGGUCCAUCCUCAGCCUUUUGCAGCAUUUUGGGUGAGGAAGGGCCCUGACAGUGGUGUGUUUCAGCUGCAGACCAUCGCCCAUGGUAGCAAAUAUUGAGGAAGCUGUGCUUUUCCAAGUGAGGAUGCUCUUAAAGGCAGUGAAGUUUCCCCAGCAGUGAUGAGGAUUGCUGUGAAGGAUGAAGUGCUUUUCACCUGUUCAGAAGAUUGGCAGGGCUCUCAGCUAUGCCUCUCAAAUAUAAGUACCCCACAUUCUUCUUGAGUCCAGGGAUCUGUUUGCUGCCUUUUAUCAGAACCACUUGCAAGCCUUUGUAUGUUUCGUUUCUCAAAUGCCUUUUUAUACAGGAAGGAGUUAUUUAUUGCAUUUCUCAUCCUUGGACUGUGGGGUCUGUGGUCCAUGUGGACAUCACGUCUGAAGCUCUAGUGAGAGGUUGCAGCUGCCAGGAGGAUGUCUGUGAUUCCCUACCAGGGAAGAGGGGCCUGCCCCAUACUGAUUUCUCCCAUGGCUCUGUGUCUGCUGACUCUGGCUGAGAGUGGGAGACCAGGUGGCCACCAGGUGAUACCUCCUGACUUACUGCUGAGGGCUCAGUUUUGCUGGAUUCUACCCCUAGUGCUCUUUGCAUCUUUGUUGGCUCCAUCUGCUUGUGAAGGACUUGGAAGAGGAAAGCAUUAGGCAGAGAAUUGAUUCCCCUGCAUGGGUGCUGCCAGCUCAGCAGUGCAUGAAGAAAUCACUGCUGCGAACUGCCUUGUGCACACACCCCAAGCCUCGCCAGCCAAGACAGAUUUCAGAUUGCAAUCUUCUCCUCUCAGAUGUCAAACUAGCCCAGAUAAUAAAACAGCUUGAGUCUCAAGACAUUCCCCAGAGAGAAUGAUGUCUCUGAUGGACUCCAAACAGAGCGUGGGUGGAACUCCAUCCUCUUUCAUCCCAGAGGCAUCCUCACUCGUGUUUCUUUCACCUCCACACCUGAUGCCAAGAGCAUUGGGAAGAAGCUCCAUCCUGGAGCACACCAGCACACACCUUGAAACUGGCUAGCAAGCUGGAGAGACUACUGAUGAGCUGCUUAAGUGCUUCUCUUCCGUUCCUGACCAUGAUUUGAGGCUCCAUCUCCCUGUCCUAGCCAAGCAGAGAUUCAAGAGGCAGAAGAGGACCUCCACUGGUCUCUCCCAUGCUGAUGACCCCCAAACCACGAGUGCCUGUGAUGGCAGAGUGAGCAAGCCGCACUCUGCACAUCUGAGCGAGGCAGCAGAAAUAACGUGGCCUGUGGGAACAAGCUGCCUCACCCCAUGGACUGAUAACACGUGUUCCGGUGUUACCCCAAUGCCUGGUCCAGCUGCAAGCCCAGACUUGCUUUGGUUAACAUACUGUGAGCAGGCAUGUCUGCCACCUGCGAGGGCCUGUUGGUAUUAGAUCAUGCUUUGUGAUCUUCAACAGUGAGAAACUAAGAUCAUGUGCUGCCUGUACCAUCCAGUUUAUGACCUAAUGACGCAAGAGAGAAAGUACUGUGAAGGGAAUUUAAAGCACAUGAAGUCCUGAGGCUCUUCUGAGCCUAAAUCUACAUAGCUCAUCGCUGGAACAACUACAGAAGGAAACUCCUUGUGUUGAGCCAUGAGAUGUGGCAGAUAGUAUCCCUACCUGCCAGGGAUAAUUUACUGGGCACCAGCAGAGCACGGAACUGCUCUUGCCAAGCCAUCGACCACCCUCAUGGUAUUUUUCAUGAGUACUGCAAUGCUACGGUUUCUGGUUGAAUGAAACAACAGAAAAUAAAGGAAGGUAAGAUGUGUGUUUCUUGGAGAACUUUGUCUGCACUUAGUCAGCUGAUGGUCAAGCUUCGCUCUCUCCUAAAUAUAAAUACUCAGUUCAUUGAUGCUUUUAGUCCCCAAACUGUCUUAAAGGUGAAGCAAACAAUGGCUUGUGAAAGUCAGUUUUCCAUAUGGAAAAGCAAGUCCUAUCCAGGAGGACACUCAAUUGUCUUUCAAACACACUUCCCACAUUAACCAGCAGUGAUUUCUGAGACAAUGACAACCUGGACACACAUCAACCGCGUACGCCUUGGGCUGUGCUGAUUGUCAGCGGGCACCACGUCCUGGAUGCUGCUGCUUCUGCUGGUGGGAUGCUACAAAGGCUGCAUAUGGGUGGUCAUGGAUGCAACCAAAUGAGGACACGCUGCAGUAUUGCAGGCUUUGUGGUGUCUCUUCAUGUGCUUGGCUUGCACAUGUGCUUUGACUGAUGGGCUCCCAGGACCGUGCAUUGCUAAGGAGACUCCUUUUACAGCAAAGGUCCAAGUACACACAAGGAGGAUGUAAAAUCUGCUAAUAUAAAUACCACUGGUCUCAGGCUUUUAUCAGAUGCCUUCUACCGGGAAAGAAAUGGGUCUUUUUUUUUCUCUGCUCAGGUUGCACUGCAAGGCCAUUUGGCAUUCCUGUGUGCCCUGCACUGAGCUUUCCUGAUCCACCUAAACCCUUCCUAGAGAUAAGCAUUCCCUGGAUUUCUGACCACAAACCAGUUUUUACUCGGUGGACUGUAGCCAGAGGAAGGGCUACAUUAGCUCUGUGGCUUAGUAUUUAGAGUGACUUCUAAGCACAGACAUUGGAGGUACCGUGAUUUUCUAUGGCUUCAUGGUGUUUGGAACAGCAGAGCAUGAUCAGUCGCAUCCAGCCCACCAGAGGAGGCUCUUUUCUGGGCACGGGGAGGGAUGCUUCAUUUGGGUCAGAUUAUACUGACAUUACUGGGGCAGAACUUGUAUACUGCAGCUUCUCUGAUUUGCUGCCAGCCGGCUCAGCUCAGCGAUGCUGAGGAUACGCAGAUCCCUCUACGCGAGAUUUUAAUCACCGGACAAUGUGCAGGCGAGUGCAUGGCUUCUGGCAGGGGCUGUCCCAGGAGCAGGCAGUGGGACCAAUUGAUAUUUCUUCAAGUUUAUUUUGGAGGCUUGUGUUUUUCUGUCAGAAGCAGAAGCCUGAAGGAAAUUUAAGAUGUAUCUCCCAUGCUUGGGUUUGCCAGGAUGGGGGAGGAGGGACACGCAGAAGCGUAAAACCCUGUGGAUCUGUGUCAAAAAUAAAGAGAUCGGAGCACACAAAUCCUAGCCUGAACCCAAACUUCCUGCCUCUGUAAAGCUAUUAAGAGCCCCUUGACUGUUUUGAAUCCUGUCCUGAUUAGUAAUGAUGUUUUUAAUUGAAAUUUCAAGGUUCAUUACUGAACACAGAUUAAUUAAAUUGCAAGGAGAGAUAAUGAGAAACGUUCCCUUUGGACCCAUAAAGGAACACACGUGUCCUAGCGGGACUCUGGCAGCACGACCUGCUGCCGAUCUCCCCAAAGAGCAUAUUCCAGCAUGCAAACCUGACAUGCAGCGGCAGGGGUUGCUGAUCACAGCCCUGCUGAGCGCCAGGCAUGGGCUGAGCACCUUGCAAAAUCAAGCCAGCACCAUUUGUUAAGGCAGACUUGUCAGGUUUUGCUUGGUCCCUGCUCAGGGAGAAGCCUGAAACCUGUAGGUUUCCCUGUGGGAAAGAUUAAUUGAAAACCAAGGCCUGGGACCUUGAGAUUUCCUGAGCUUGGGAGAUGCUGGUCUGGUGUCGGGGGACUCAGCUAUGUGGCUCAUUUGCUGGUCUGAUGGGGAUGUCCCCAGGCUUCGCUGCCCUGCGCUGGUGUCACACUGCUGUGAGUGCCCCCACAGCUCUGCUCCCACCCUCCAAAGUCACGUCUAUAACCUCAGCAAGCUCCUGGCUAAAAGUAAGGCAGGUUGGGGUUGUUUUGGGGGUUUUUAACCAGCCUUUCUUGUAAUGUGCACUCAGAGGCAAAGCCCUCCCAGCUUUGAAAUGGUUUUGCAUUCAGAAAAUACCACUGGGAAGGAGCUGGUCACUAACACCUCCCAAACAUCUGUCUUGGAAGAGGAGCCCUGCCUGGCUGGCUCAUCCAGAGAUCUCAAAUGUGGUGGGAUGGGAAGUGUUUCAGCAAAACCUGCGGGAAAUUGGGACUGCGGUUCCUUGGAGUCCUCAAGUCACCGGGGAGCUGGCCCUGCCCUUGAUUCCACAGAUGGGGUUGUCUUUUGGGAUCCCUUCUGUCCCCUUGGUGAAAACAUCUCUAUAGUGUCGAACACUGAAUGACCCUUAGAGAGCUGAGCAUCCCUUGUGCGCUUGCUUUCUUAGCCACAAAUUCCAUCCAAAUCAGGUCAAUUCCACCAUCUCUUUCCUGCAAACCUUGCCAGAAAGGUCUGUUUUCCCUGCCUAAUAGCUGAUUAAUUUCUUGCAGAGAUACAGUUGUUCAAUGACCACCUCUGUAGUCCUGAGGACAAUGUGUGACUUAGCAUAAGCCACACUGUGUGACAUGGUACCUCACAGACAGACUUGCCAUGGUCACAAGAGGAGGGUUUCAGAAACUGUGAAGAGCGACGUGGUCUCCACGAGGUCUUUGUGAUCUUCGUUUGCAACAUAUUUUUCUGGAGAGGUCUGUGAAAAUUAGAAAGCUUUAAUUUGGCUCAUAUGGACCCUGGUCAAAUCUCUUCUGACUGCGGUAUGAUGAAGCAGAUAAAACGGCAUUGAAGAUAUUAUUUCCUGGAAGCUUUUCUAUUUCUGUCAGCUCUUACUUGCUAGUUCUCCCCUCCCCGGAGGAUGAGCUCUGCUUUCAUACACUAGUGGGUUUUUAUUUUGGCAAAAAAAAGUGUGGGUUUUGGCAGAAAAAAGAGACAGUACAUCAAUGAAAAGGGGAAACCAAUUUUUUUCCAAAUGCUUCAAAGCUACCAGUUAAGGGUUUCCAAAAAGCUUUGGAGUAGAGACCAAGUGGAUGCUAAAAGAGAUGGGAAUUGGCUCAUAUCCUGAAUGACUUCCAUUAUUGCUUGAAAAAGCAACUGAGUUUUGUUAUUGUAUUUGUGUAGACCACUGUCCUGGAGGCUCCCCACUGAGGGACGGGGUUAUUUUAUCCAGAUACUGCACAUAAUACUGAGAAACACUGGCAUGAAUAAACCUCAUUAGAGAGCAGGCACGCACUUCAAGCCUACAAAUGCAGAAGAGAUUGCCCAGACCCUGCCCUAUUUGAAAUGCUCUUUCAUGGGACCAACGGCCCCAGAAGUGUGGGCAUGGUUGUUGCAGAUGGCCUCAUGCGUCCUGGCUUCCCGCUGUCCCCACAGGCCCCUCUGGGAUGUAAGCCAUGCAAGGAGGUGCAGAGCAGUGCCGUGGGACACCUGGAGCAUCCCGCUGGAGGAGCAGGUGAGAUCGGCACCAGCUCCCGCAUCCUCAGGCAGCCUCAGAUGGGGCUCAAGAGGGGACAGGUCUGGACCUCAGCAGCUCUUCAGGACUCAUCAGUUCCUCCAUGAGCAGGUUUGCUGGGGGAACGCGCAGGUACGUGGGUGUUUCUGGGCAGGCGAGUAGCAAGGUGACCACAUCAGGCUCAAAACAGCUUGGAGGACAGGAGCCAGGUGGAAUCACCCUGUCAUUGAAGGCCACAGUCCCCUGGUCAUGGGGGGCUGGCUCAGGAGAGCUCUGGUGCCCACAGGAGGGAUGGGAUGGGGCACUGCUGGCUCAGUCACUCUGUGGGUGUGGGGGGCUAAAAUAGAGUCCCCUCUGUGUUCACAGCCCACCAUGACCUCUUUGCUGCCAGGGGAGCUGCAGCCCACACCAGGACGGGUGGAAAACCUGCCCAUGGUGUUGUGGCAUUUGGGAUUUAAGACCAGAACAAGCUGCUGAGACUUGGCAUGGAGGUUUUGGGAGGGGUCCAUAUCCAGUCAGCAGUCUGUAAUGGAUUAUGCAGCCAAAAAGACUUCCCUCAUUUUUAUUAUUUCUUUUCCAGCAGGCUGAUGAAACCUGAGCUACCACGAUGGUGGACUCAUGCACCAUGGCUGGACAAACCCUAUGCCAGGCAUGCUGCCACACCUUCCAUCUGUGGGACCACUGGGGUGACCCCCUCAAGCACCACUUCUAUUUCUGUCCCUAUCCAAAACCAAAACCCAAGUGCAUUUCUAUCUCAUUAAAACAUUUCUCCAGGGGACAGGAGAACAGCUGUUUGUUUGUUUGUUUUUCCUCAGCUCCCACCAGGCAGCAUUUCUUAUCUUGCAAUGGUUUUGCAGCUCAUUAGUAAAUAUGCCAGCGGGAGGGGAACUGGGCAAUGCUGGGGUUCACCAGGCCUGGGUGCUGCCUGCCCUGGGAAGCCUUGGGAGUAACCCUGAUUUCCAGAAGAACAUGAGCUGUCCUGUCAUCCACCCAUCAAAACGGUCAUCCUGGGGUAGCGUUAAGGUGUUGUAAACCUCCAUCUUCUCAUCCAGAAGGAAACAACGGUCUGCCUGUGGCCAGAUAAACCCCUACAAGUAUUGACUGGUGAUAAAUAAUUGCAGAGGCAUCAUUACCCAAACCACUGGCCCACCGCCACUGGGGACAAAAGUGAAAAUACCUGGAGAACAGGCGCCAAGAGAUGUUUUUGCUGCGUGUUGUCUGAAAAGCAGAAGAGCAUCCCUUGAUACAGGGAUGCUGUUGCAAGAGUACAGCCUGUGUAUUUUGCAAAUAGCCACUCUCAUCCAUAACACUUAAGCUGAAUGAGAGACUAAAUAAAGAUUAAAUGUUCCUA